AGAGUUUGAUCCUGGCUCAGGAUGAACGCUGGCGGCAUGCCUAAUACAUGCAAGUCGAACGAGAGGAAGGAAAGCUUGCUUUCCUAAAUCUAGUGGCGAACGGGUGAGUAACACGUAGGUAACCUGCCCAUGUGCCCGGGAUAACUUCUGGAAACGGAUGCUAAAACCGGAUAGGUAGCAGACAAGCAUUUGACUGCUAUUAAAGUGGCUAAGGCCAUGAACAUGGAUGGACCUGCGGUGCAUUAGCUAGUUGGUGAGGUAACGGCCCACCAAGGCGACGAUGCAUAGCCGGCCUGAGAGGGCGGACGGCCACAUUGGGACUGAGACACGGCCCAAACUCCUACGGGAGGCAGCAGUAGGGAAUUUUCGUCAAUGGGGGGAACCCUGAACGAGCAAUGCCGCGUGAGUGAGGAAGGUCUUCGGAUCGUAAAGCUCUGUUGUAAGAGAAAAACGGCACUCAUAGGGAAUGAUGAGUGAGUGAUGGUAUCUUACCAGAAAGUCACGGCUAACUACGUGCCAGCAGCCGCGGUAAUACGUAGGUGGCGAGCGUUAUCCGGAAUGAUUGGGCGUAAAGGGUGCGUAGGUGGCAGAUCAAGUCUGGAGUAAAAGGUAUGGGCUCAACCCGUACUUGCUCUGGAAACUGAUCAGCUAGAGAACAGAAGAGGACGGCGGAACUCCAUGUGUAGCGGUAAAAUGCGUAGAUAUAUGGAAGAACACCGGUGGCGAAGGCGGCCGUCUGGUCUGGAUUCUGACACUGAAGCACGAAAGCGUGGGGAGCAAAUAGGAUUAGAUACCCUAGUAGUCCACGCCGUAAACGAUGAGAACUAGGUGUUGGGGGAAUAACUCAGUGCCGCAGUUAACGCAAUAAGUUCUCCGCCUGGGGAGUAUGCACGCAAGUGUGAAACUCAAAGGAAUUGACGGGGGCCCGCACAAGCGGUGGAGUAUGUGGUUUAAUUCGAAGCAACGCGAAGAACCUUACCAGGCCUUGACAUCCCUUGCAGAGGUAUAGAGAUAUAUCCGAGGUUAUCAAGGAGACAGGUGGUGCAUGGUUGUCGUCAGCUCGUGUCGUGAGAUGUUGGGUUAAGUCCCGCAACGAGCGCAACCCUUGU
rnacentral:rRNA from 1 species